rnacentral:rRNA from 1 species
UACAGAGGUCUCGAGCGUUAGGCGGAAUCACUGGGCUUAAAGCGUGUGUAGGCGGAUCGUUAAGUGCCUUGUGAAAUCCCACGGCUCAACCGUGGAACUGCUUGGCAUACUGGCGGUCUUGAGCAGCCUAGGGGCGAGCGGAACAAAUGGUGGAGCGGCGAAAUGCGUAGAUAUCAUUUGGAACGCCAAUGGUGAAAACAGCUCGCUGGGGGUUUGCUGACGCUGAGACACGAAAGCCAGGGGAGCAAACGGG